UACUUUGGCAGAAAAAAAAUGUAUUAAAUUUAGAAUUUAAGUAUAUAAUGUUUAAUUAUAGGUAAUA
rnacentral:tRNA from 1 species